rnacentral:rRNA from 2 species
AAACUUUCAACAACGGAUCUCUUGGUUCUCGCAACGAUGAAGAACGCAGCGAAAUGCGAUACGUAAUGUGAAUUGCAGGUUUUCGUGAAUCAUCGAAUCUUUGAACGCAUAUUGCGCCCUCUGGUAUUCCGGAGGGCAUGCCUGUUUGAGCGUCAUUU